ACGACCUUACUUGAACAGGAUCUGUUCUAUAGGAUCGUACAUCUGUAUCCUUUAGCACAAAGGAGACAGGAACCCAACCCUGGUGGAUGAAUCAAGACCGUGCGAUCAGAGCGUGAUUAACGGCUUUGUGGGCCUUAGAGUUCAUUGUUGCUGUAGAGGAUCGUUACCCAGUUAGCCUAGCUGAAUGGGACGGUCGCAUGGUUGUCUGACAGGUU
rfam:Jatropha curcas cultivar GZQX0401 scaffold103_57, whole genome shotgun sequence.